CUUCCUUCCACUUUCACGCUGCUCGAGCGCAUGUGGGUUCCUGGGCAGCGGGUUCAUCCGCAGAGUGGCCUGGAGUGCAGAUCCACCGACGACCUGUUCCCCAGCCUGGGAUGAACCGCUUUCUGCUGCCGGUGUCCGUAGUGGGCACGGUGAUCGGCGGCACCGUGCUGCUCAAGGACUAUGUCGCUGGAGGGGCUUGUCCCAGCAAGGCCACCAUACCUGGGAAGACUGUUAUUGUGACAGGAGCCAACACGGGCAUCGGGAAACAAACUGCUUUGGAGCUGGCUAAAAGAGGAGGCAACGUCAUUCUAGCCUGCCGUGACAUGGAGAAGUGCGAGGCGGCAGCAAAGGACAUCCGUGGGGAGACCUUGAAUUCCCGUGUACGGGCUGAACACCUAGACUUGGCUUCCCUCAAGUCCAUCCGGGAGUUUGCGAGGAAGAUCAUUAAAGAGGAGGAGCGGGUAGACAUUCUGGUCAACAAUGCGGCUGUGAUGCGGUGCCCACACUGGACCACUGAGGACGGCUUUGAGAUGCAGUUUGGUGUCAACCACUUGGGGCAUUUUCUAUUGACAAAUUUGCUGUUGGACAAACUGAAGGCCUCGGCCCCGUCACGCAUCAUCAAUCUCUCAUCCUUGGCUCACGUGGCUGGGCAUAUAGACUUCGACGACUUGAACUGGCAGAUGAAAAAGUAUGACACCAAGGCAGCGUACUGCCAGAGCAAGUUGGCUGUUGUCCUCUUCACCAAGGAGCUGAGCCGCCGCCUGCGAGGUACGGGUGUGACUGUCAAUGCACUGCACCCUGGCGUGGCCAGGACGGAGCUGGGGCGACAUACAGGCAUGCACAAUUCCGCCUUCUCCGGCUUCACGCUCGGGCCCUUCUUCUGGUUGCUGUUCAAGAGUCCCCAGCUGGCGGCCCAGCCGAGCACAUAUCUGGCUGUAGCAGAGGAACUGGAGAAUGUUUCGGGGAAGUACUUUGAUGGACUCAGAGAGAAGGCUCCAUCUCCCGAGGCUGAAGAUGAGGAAGUAGCCCGGAGGCUUUGGACUGAAAGUGCCCAUUUGGUGGGCUUGGACAUGACUCAAGGGUCCGCUGGGAGAGGACAUUCCAUCCCCAGAUAACCUUCAGAGAUCCAGAUGGAGCUGCGUUACCAAGGCUGCUGCUGGCCAUGCCCUCAGCAUCCUCUAGGGGCAGCGUUGCAUGGUUGAACUCUCUAGACUAUGGCUGCUGGCUGCCAUGCCCUCAUCAUCCUCUAGGGGCAGCGUUGGUACUAUUAGAAUCUCAAGACUGUGACUGCUGGCUGCCACGCCCUCAUCAUCCUCUAGGUGGCAGUGUUGGUCCUAGCAUUUACUGUUAGCCAGUUACAUUGAGUUGGACCACAGGUAGGCACUAGCUCAGGGGGUAGCAAGGACAUGUACUCUUGGUUGCUGGGGAGGUGGUCCAUCAGGUGCCCUCCUUAGGAAUCUAAAAGGGGAGGCCGAUAGAGGAGUCGGUUACUGUGGUCAUGGGCAGGGUCCAGAGACAGUGGGCGCCAGAGCUGCUGUGGCGGACUGACUGGUCCACUGCUAAGGAGCAGGUGCUCUAUGGAUCUCUGUGGCUGUGUACACUGUGCCUGCUCUCUGAUUUCACUGUUGUUCCAGUUAGCGUUCUGUUGCUGUGAUAAACACCAUGACCAAAAUCAACUCGGGGAGGAAAAGGGCUUCCUUAACUUACAGGUUACAGUUUAUCAUGGAAGAACAGAGACAGGGCAGGAACUCAGGACAGUAACUUGAAGCAGAUCCCCAUGGAGGUGUGCUCACAGGCAUGCAUCAGAUACCUUUCUGUUUUAUUAUUAUUAUUACUAUUUUGCAGAGAGGGUCUCACUUUGUAACCCUGACCUUCCUGGAACUUGCUGUGUAGAGCAGGCUGGCCUUGAACUCACAGAUAUUUGCCUUCUGGGAUUAAAGGCAUGCAUUACUAUGCCCGGCCCAGGUACCGGUGCAGGCCCGGUCCAGACAGCUCUUGAGUACAAACUGCAAAGUGUCACUGCUACUUCCGGGAUGGUGUUGGCCUGAAGCGUCUGCCCGACUCAGAAAGGGUAGCUGUGGACACCUCGUGUCCUGGACAGUGGCGGGGGCUGCAGGCUGCAGUCCACUGGGAACCUGGCACAGACCCUGCCCUUGUUAACCCUGAACUGCUCAGGACAGAGUGGAAUGAAACGCUGCCUCAGAAAACCAGUGUGACCUGGGGUCACGAUCUCUCCAAUUCCUAAUUUUAAACCUUAGAUGCUCAGGCUUGUUUAUCAUCAGAUAACGUGUUAGGGGUAGUGACACUUAAGCGGGAAGAGAGGCAGGAGGAUCAAGAGUUCAAGUCAUCCUCUCCAGCCUGGGCUAAACAAGAUCCUGUUAAAACAAAACAAAACAAAAC